AUGAAUUGACGGAUUAGAUACCCUGGUAGUCCACGCCGUAAACGAUGAUUACUGGUUGUUUGCGAUACAUUGUAAGCGACUGAGCGAAAGCGUUAAGUAAUCCACCUGGGGAGUACGUUCGCAAGAAUGAAACUCAAAUGAAUUGACGGACGGA
rnacentral:rRNA from 1 species